UCUGUUUAGUCAAUCAGCAGAAGCGAGUGUCCUCAGUAGUUUGAGUGAUACUCCUGAACUAGAUUAAAUUAGAAUAGAGGAGAAUUGAUUUGAACAGAAACCUUCAAAGAUCUUUCAUGUUUUUGGUCGGUGGAGAUACAUUUUUUUCAGGGUUGUAAGAGAAAAUCUCCCGUGAAGCUCCUCCUGCUCUCAUCUGAGGGAGAGAAUUUCUGCAGAAUUCAUCUGAUGUGUUCAGGAACACCGGCGGCUUCCGUCAGAUCCGUGGAUGGAGAUGGUGCGGCACACCUGUGAUCCGCUGAUCUCUCAUCCGUCAUGUGGCUUCUGAAUUAUUAACCCAGAGGUCACAGGUCAGAGCAGAGGUCACAGGAACACUUCUGAGGAAGAAAUCUGAUGAGAUGCAGCAGGUUUCAGUGUUCGAACGAAACAAGAUGAAGGAGCAAAAACAUCAAACUCCAUCAUUAUAAUGAUGGUCCCUCUGGAGACAUGCAGUGUUUUCUGCUCCGAAGCUUUAAUGAAGUUCAUUUUCGGUCAAAUGAUCUCAAAGUCCUCAGGAGGAAUAAAAUCAGACUCAAAUGAGUCACUCGACACAGUAAAAUCAAAGAGUGGAAGCAGUUCAUAGCGAAAGUCUCAUUUAAUCUCGUUGCUGUCU